rnacentral:rRNA from 1 species
CCUACGGGUGGCUGCAGUAGGGAAUAUUGGGCAAUGGAUGCAAGUCUGACCCAGCCAUGCCGCGUGCCGGACGAAGGCCCUCUGGGUCGUAAACGGCUUUUAUGCGGGAAGAACCCCGCCCACGCGUGGGCGGCUGACGGUACCGCAGGAAUAAGCACCGGCUAACUCCGUGCCAGCAGCCGCGGUAAUACGGAGGGUGCGAGCGUUGUCCGGAUUUAUUGGGUUUAAAGGGUGCGCAGGUGGCCCGGUCAGUCAGUGGUGAAAUGCGGCCGCUC